UGGAAGUCAUUAUAUUGAAUUAAUUAAACUACCUUAACAUCCGCCAGAGUACUACAAGCGCUAGCUUAAAACCCAAAGGACUUGGCGGUGCUCCACACCCACCUAGAGGAGCCUGUUAUGUAACCGAUAACCCGCGUUCAACCUCACCACUUCUUGCUUUUUUCCGCCUAUAUACCGCCGUCGCCAGCUCACCUUAUGAAAGCAUAACAGUAAGCUAAAUGGCCUUUCCCCCAAUACGUCAGGUCGAGGUGUAGCGAAUGAAGUGGGAAGAUAUGGGCUACAUUCUCUCUCUAGAGAACACGAACAGAAAUAUGAAAAAUCUCUCAAAGGUGGAUUUAGCAGUAAGUAAACUUUAGAACAUUUUACUGAAGCAGGCCCUGGAGCGCGCACACACCGCCGUUCCACCCUCCAGAAAAAAGGUUCCCUCCACCUUUUUUUGCGGAACAAACCAUGCCCGGUUAACUUGGGGGCCGGGGGAAAAAAAAAAGAAAAGACAGUUUCGGGGGGGGGGGGGGGGGGACAGACUUCUGCACUGGGGAACCAGAGAGAUGCAAACU
rnacentral:rRNA from 1 species